AGCCUACUAGCUCAAUAGGUAGAGCAUUAUGAAAAUGCACAAAAGAUGUGGGUUUGAAUCCCACGUAGGUUA
rfam:Spinacia oleracea cultivar SynViroflay scaffold2956.con0003.1, whole genome shotgun sequence.